rnacentral:misc_RNA from 1 species
GAUGAAGAACGUAGCGAAAUGCGAUACGUAAUGUGAAUUGCAAAUUCAGUGAAUCAUCGAGUCUUUGAACGCACAUUGCGCCCCCUGGUAUUCCGGGGGGCAUGCCUGUCCGAGCGUCAUUGCUGCCCUCAAGCACGGCUUGUGUGUUGGGCCCCGUCCUCCGAUCCCGGGGGACGGGCCCGAAAGGCAGCGGCGGCACUGCGUCCGGUCCUCGAGCGUAUGGGGCUUUGUCACCCGCUCUGUAGGCCCGGCCGGCGCUUGCCGAUCAACCCAAAUUUUUAUCCAGGUUGACCUCGGAUCAGGUAGGGAUACCCGCUGAACUUAAGCAUAUCAAUAAGCGGAGGA